UACGUAGGCAGCGAGCGUUGUUCGGAGUACUGGGCGUAAAGCGUGCGUUAGGCGGCGGCCCAAGUCUGGUGUGAAAUCUCCCGGCUUAACCGGGAGGGUGCGCUAGAAACUGGGUUGCUGGAGUACCGGAGAGGCAGGCGGAAUUCCUGGUGUAGCGGUGAAAUGCGUAGAUAAUCUGGAGGAACACCGGUGGCGAAGGCGGCAUCCUGGACCGAGAUUGACGCUGAGGCGGCGAAAAGCCAGGGGGAGCCAAAGCGGGG
rnacentral:rRNA from 1 species